rnacentral:tRNA from 1 species
AAAUUAGAGCUUGUUUGUAAAGCAUUUUAUUUACAUUAAAAAGUUAUUGUUAAAAUCAAUUGAUUUGAG